GCCAAGAUUUUGCCCAAAAUGCCCCCAG
rnacentral:tRNA from 1 species